GGGCCCCACAGUGUCACAAUGGUGCCAUGGUCCCCCAAGGCCCUGCAGUGUCACAAUGAAUCCUUGGUUCCAUGAGAUCUGGCAGUGAAGCAAUGCUCUCCUUGGUUCCCACAGUCUUUUAUACCUCUUACUCUCAGACAAGAGAAGGAUACCUGAUAGAUGAAGGGGAGUGGGAGUAGAUAUCCACUCAAGGAGGUAAUAAUAAAAAUUCCUCCUGACCCCUACUCCCCAGCCAGGUGACACUUCGGAACAGGAUCUGAGGAUGGAGACCAGCGAGGACAAAGCCCCAUGGCACGACAUCGUAGCAGAGGCGAUGAUGUUGAGCAAUUUGAGUGGCUCCACAGCACAGGAAUACAACAGGGAAGAAAAGCCGCAGAGAUCCCACAGGAGGAGGGGCUCCAAACUCAGCCCAGGGUACUCUGAAAAGGAAAGACCCACCCUGAGCCAGUGGGGAGAGGCCCUACGAUUGUCCUGAGUGUCAGAAGAGGUUUCGGAUCAGCUCAGCUCUCCUCCUGCACCAGCGGAUUCACUCAGAGAAGAGGCCCUUCUGCUGCCCUGAUUGUGGGAAGGGCUUCAAGUGCAAC